CUCCUACGGGAGGCAGCAGUGGGGAAUCUUGCGCUAAUGCGGGAAACCGUGACGCAGCGACGCCGCGUGAGGGAAGAAGGCCUUCGGGUUUGUAAACCUCUUUCAGGAGGGACGAAGCCACUCGGGUUAAUAGCCCAGAGGGUUGACGGUACCUUCAGAAGAAGCCCCGGCUAACUACGUGCCAGCAGCCCGCGGUAAUACGUAGGGGGCAAGCGUUGUCCCGGAUUUAUUGGGCGUAAAGAGCGUGUAGGCGGCUAGAUAGGUCCGUUGUGAAAACUCGAGGGUCAACCUCGAGACGUCGAUGGGAAACCAUCUGGCUAGAGUCCGGAAGAAGAAAGUGGAAUUCCUGGUGUAGCGGUGAAAUGCGCAGAUCUCAGGAAGAACACCCGUGGCGAAGGCGGCUCUCUGGUACGUGACUGACGCUGAGACGCGAAAGCGUGGG
rnacentral:rRNA from 1 species